GGACCCUCCCAGGAGCUGCUGUGAAACCAGAGCGACACCUUUAGAAAUGGCCCACAUCAUCUCGUGGAGGGGGGGUGACAAGGGUGCUCAUGCCUUAGCAGGAACACUGCCCCCAGCAGGUAGAGCCUCAUGCCAGCGGUGCUGUGCCCUCAUGGUCAGUCCUCAGCCAGCCGUCUGCCAACCUUCUGUCCAGGCCAGUCCUCCACGUGCCCCCUUCGGUGGACUCUGGGGAUAUCGUCAAUCCUCCGGGAGUUCCGGACACUCAGGGCUUUUCCACGUGAGAACAUGUCUUUUCUGCGA